GUCUGUCUUCCUGAAAUAAGUAUCCCUUCUUUCUAUAUAGUUAAGACCCAAAGCUGAUCUGUGGUUAAGCCACAUCACCAUUUAAUUAUCAGCCGUUAGAUCUAAUCUGAACGGUCGCAGAUGCGUGAAGCCCAAUGCGCUUCUCUUUCCAGGUUUCUCCUACCCCAUCCGCAUCGCUCACAGGCUAUGCCGCACCGGAUGCGGCGCUUCCCCUACCUUCUCCUUCGCCCCUGCGGCCCGCGCUCGCUUCUCCGCCCCCGUGCACGCGCGCGCGCGAGCUGCACCGCGGGCCUGCCAUCGCUUCCCCUCCCUUCUCCUUCACCCCGCGCUCUCUUCUCCACCCCCGUGCGCCGGCCACAGAUGCGGUCGCUUCCCCUCCCCGCAUCGCACUGCCUCCCCCAUCCCCCAUGCACCAGCCACGCUGCGUGGCCUCCGCUUCACGCUUCGCCUUCCCCCUUCCAGCACUGGCCCCUGGCCGCAUCGCCUUCCUUGUCACUGCACCGUCCCGUCUCUCCCGUGAUGCCUCAUAUUCCCUUCUUACGUCCUUUGGUAUCAUCCUUCUCGCUUCUCAUCUUUACUGCACAUUGCCGUCUCUCUUCCCAUCUAUAAGAUCCAAAUCGCCAGUUGCCUACGAACCACUAUUCAACAUCCAUAGCCAGAACCAAGCUUCAGCAUCCAUGGCCCUAUAGCACGCAAGGAGCACUUGCUGAUUUACUCUUUCUUUUUUUUUUCUCUAUUUGAUUCAGGCAAUCAGCUCAUCUGCCUGUUGCUAUUUUGCAUACCUUUUUGCCGCACCUAUUUCGUUUUUAUGUCAGCCUAAUCCCAAUUUAUUUUUUCUGCGGAUUCAUUUUUCCUUUGUUAUCCAAUCCUUCUAACCGGCAGCAAUACAUUAGGUAAUGCACUUCUGUUAAUUUUGAUGUUUUCCUGUUUCCUGAUUAUUCUCUUCUCCUGCUUCUUUUCCUAGGAGCAAUUCUCUGCUUCUUUAACAGGAUAUAACUAUCUCUGCCAAGUUAUAGGUACUUAUGUUGUUGAAUGAAAUGUUGGACAAGAUCUUUCAUGUGAGACUUUCUACGCUAUAGUUUUGCUGCUGGUAUGGAAUUUGAAUGGCCUUGCUCAAAUGGUCUGGUGUUCAAUUUUUUUAGUGGCUAUCGAUUAUAUUCAGUGAUUCAUCGUAUAGCCGUGUACAGGAAUACAAGUAUAUGACUAUUCCUAUUCCAAUGUCCCCAUUUAUUUUUAUAACCUUUUAGAGCAAACUGCCGCUAAUACAUACUUCUAAUCUCUCUUCUGUAAGUGGAUAUUCACUUCUAUUUCAUAUUUACCUGAUACAAAUGUACACAGGUGUGUGUUCAAUAUUGCAAACUAUUGAGUGAUGUAUAAAUCCAUCAUUCAGUUCAUGAAUCAUGAAUCAUGAUGGGUUCAAAGUUAGUCCUGACCUGCUACUCCAGUAAGGCAUUCUGUAUUGAAAAUUUUUAUACUUAUAUCAGAAAUCCAAAGGCCUGACAAUAAUUCCAAGAACCAGAUAAAAAUAUUCUUUUACUUACAAUUUGCCAUAUUUAUCUGUAAACGAACUUCAAGCGGGAUUUGAUACCCAGGAAUUUUGUGCUAUUUGCCUAUUUCAAGGCAUACCAGAUUUGACUCCCAGUCAUAAUUUAUUUUCAAGCACUGCUCACUGAGAUGCCAAGACUUGACAUGUACACAGGUAUGCAAACAAUUCUGUUGUCAAUUCAAGAUAUAUGCAAUCAAGGUUGGUAUGCAGAAUUUAGGGAUGUAGCAUAAUUACACAGAUAUAAUGCACUAAAGUAUUAGGCUUACAAAGAAAUUAUCAUCUUGAGAAAUAAAAUUCACUUUUUUUGCUGACCGACA